GGAGAGGUGGGUGAGUUGGCUGAAACCGUACGCUUGGAAAGCGUAUUUACCUUAACCGGUAACGUGGGUUCGAAUCCCACCCUCUCCG
rnacentral:tRNA from 1 species